AUACGGGGGAUGCAAGCGUUGUUCGGAAUCACUGGGCGUAAAGGGCGCGCAGGCGGUUUGGUAAGUCAGAUGUGAAAGCCCACGGCUCAACCGUGGAAGUGCAUUUGAAACUGCCAGACUUGAGUACCAGAGGGGAAAGUGGAAUUCCCGGUGUAGAGGUGAAAUUCGUAGAUAUCGGGAGGAAUACCGGUGGCGAAGGCGACUUUCUGGCUGGAUACUGACGCUGAGGCGCGAAAGCGUGGGGAGCAAACAGGAUUAGAUACCCCGGUAGUCC
rnacentral:rRNA from 1 species